AUACGAAGGUCCCAAGCGUUGUUCGGAAUCACUGGGCGUAAAGCGUGUGUAGGCUGCGCGGAAAGUCAAAUGUGAAAGCCCGGGGCUCAACCUCGGAACUGCAUUCGAUACUCCCGUGCUAGAGUAAUGGAGAGGUAAGUGGAAUUCCUGGUGUAGCAGUGAAAUGCGUGGAUAUCAGGAGGAACAUCAAUGGCGAAGGCGGCUCACUGGCUCGAUACUGACGCUGAGGUGCGAAAGUGUGGGGAGCAAACAGGAUUAGAUACCCUGGUAGUCCACACCGUAAACGAUGAAUGCCAGACGUCAGCAAGCAUGCUUGUUGGUGUCACACCUAACGGAUUAAGCAUUCCGCCUGGGGAGUACGGUCGCAAGAUUAAAACUCAAAGGAAUUGACGGGGGCCCGCACAAGCGGUGGAGUAUGUGGUUUAAUUCGAUGCAACGCGAAGAACCUUACCAGGGUUUGACAUCCUGCGAAUCUCUUGGAAACGAGAGAGUGCCUUC
rnacentral:rRNA from 1 species